rnacentral:rRNA from 1 species
CUACGGGACGCAGCAGUGAGGAAUUUUGCGCAAUGGGCGAAAGCUUGACGCAGCAACGCCGCGUGGGUGAAGAAGGCCUUCGGGUCGUAAAGCCCUGUCAGGUGGGAAGAACCACUUCAGCACCAAUAAUGCUGAGGCCUGACGGUACCACCAGAGGAAGCACCGGCCAACUCCGUGCCAGCAGCCGCGGUAAUACGGAGGGUGCAAGCGUUGUUCGGAAUCAUUGGGCGUAAAGAGCGUGUAGGCGGUCAGGUAAGUCAGAUGUGAAAGCCCUGGGCUCAACCCAGGAAGUGCAUUUGAAACUAUCUGACUUGAGUACGGGAGAGGAAGGGGGAAUUCCCGGUGUAGAGGUGAAAUUCGUAGAUAUCGGGAGGAAUACCGGUGGCGAAGGCGCCCUUCUGGACUGAUACUGACGCUGAGACGCGAAAGCGUGGGGAGCAAACAGGAUUAGAUACCCCGGUAGUC